rnacentral:rRNA from 1 species
AACGAACGCUGGCGGCAGGCCUAACACAUGCAAGUCGAGCGAGGACUUCGGUUCUAGCGGCGGACGGGUGAGUAACGCGUGGGAAUGUGCCCUUCUCUACGGAAUAGCCCUGGGAAACUGGGAGUAAUACCGUAUACGCCCUAUUGGGGAAAGAUUUAUCGGAGAAGGAUCAGCCCGCGUUGGAUUAGGUAGUUGGUGGGGGAAUGGCCUACCAAGCCGACGAUCCAUAGCUGGUUUGAGAGGAUGAUCAGCCACACUGGGACUGAGACACGGCCCAGACGCCGCCGGGAGGCAGCGGUGGGGAUUAUGAGAGGAGGGCGGCAGGGUUAAUCAAGCCUUGCGGGGGGAAAGAUACAGGCGGUAGGAACGUAAGGCUCCUUGAGCAGCGCCGAUACUGACGGUACGGGAAGAAGAAGGCACGGCUACCUCCGUG